UGCUAAGAAAGUCCCCCUGUGGGGUGGAAGGGGGGAGGAGGGGGGAGACCAGGACCCCCGUGAGCCCCAGCCCCGCUCACUGCCGCUGGAUCUGGACGCUGGCAUACUCAGAGCUGCUCUCCUCAGGGCACGGGGGGGGCCGCCGGGGUGCCUUGCUGAGGUGCACCAUGUCCAGGUCGGCGUAGGUCAGGUUGUCGCUGCUGCUGGCCGGCUGGCUGCUGCUGCUGUUGCUGCCCUGGAUGCAGGCGUACUCCGACUGCUGGCUCAGCUCGAUGACGCGGCGGACGCUCUUCCUCUUCUCUUUGGCGAAGUUCAGGUCGGCGUAGGUCAUGUUGUUGGGGUCAGACUCCUGCGUGGUGGUGGUCCCGCUGCUCUUCUCCGGCUCGUGUAACCUGGCAGACGGAGAGCUCUUACCCUUGCUCUGCUUCGUCCGGAUGAGGUAGAGAAUUGCAAUCACCAGCAGCGCCAGCACAGUGCACACCACUCCCACGGCCACAUAGAUGAGACUUUUGCUGUCUCCGAUGAGGCCUUCAUUGCUUUCCCUGAGGGCUGGAGGAGUGACCCGCAGGAUGCCCGUGCCGGAGAUGGGCUCCUGGUCCUCGUGCACCACCAGGCAGGUGAACUUGAAGCCACUCUUCUCCUCCCCCGCCUGCACCGUCACCGUGCUGUUCAGCUCAAACAAGCCCCGGGAGGUCUCUGUUGGCUGCGUGCUGCUCCGCGUGUUCAUCUCCGUCCCGUUCUCCAGCCAGCUGACAUUCACAGCUCCCGGGUAGAAGCCCUGCACGCGGCAGGUGAAGUUCACCGUCUUGUUCACCUCCACGGCGCCCGACGGCGCGGCGACCACAGACACGCUGGGGGGAACUGGGAAGAGAAGCAGCGCCUGCAGCCGACGUCCCCGAGCCCACGGCUCAGCCCUGCCCGGGCCCCGGGGCUGUGAGCCUCACCUCGCAGGGCCUGGUGCAGCGCGUACGUCUUCCUCAGCGGGGCUGCCAACGUGCGGUGCUGCACCUCGCAGGUGAGCUCCGAGCGGACGUCGUCCUCGCUCAGCUUCACCUGCAGGGUGCUGGACAUGCGGUAGGAGGAAUUUGACAGCUCUGGGGUGAUGUGGGGCGGCUCAGCCCGAACUGGAGUGCUGUUCUUGAGCCAUUUCACCUGGAUGUCACGGGGGGAGAACUCUUUGGCACUGCAGGUGAAGGGCACCGACUGCCCCGGCACCGCUCGGUGACUCGGCCCCGACACGACUGGCACAGAGGGUCUGGCUGUGGGAGAAGCAUUGGCCCAUCAGGGGGUGUCCUGCCCCUCCCAGCCCCAGAGGAGAGCCCACCAUGACAGGCUGGGAGCCCACUCACCGUACACCGACACCUCUGUGCCUCCACCCUUCCUAAACACCACAGUAUCAACAAUGCCUUUGCGAAGCUUCACGCAGUAAUAGGUGCCGGCGUCCUCCAGACUGACAUUGCUGAUGCGGAUGGUGAAGUCGUUGCUGGGGUCAGGAACUGCUCUCAUCACACGUGGGAAGGAGCCUUUCUGUUCAUAAACGGUCUGAUUGUCACUGCCUGAGCCUUUCACCCACUUCACAGCACCAACAGGACCCGAUCCAGACGCUGUGCAGUUCAGGGUCAGCGUGUCGCCUUUGAUCACCACCUCCGAGCUCUGGGGCUGCUGCAGUUUGAAGUCCGGAUACGUCUGGGCACCCACACCUGCGCAGGAGGACUGGCAGAGCAGCAGCAGGCAGAGCAGCGGCCAGGCGGGGGGACGGGGCUCCAUCUCCGGCUCCUCCUGUCCGGGCCCCGAGCGGCCCCGGGGCCGUUCCGCUCCGCACCGCUCCGC
rnacentral:lncRNA from 1 species